UCUCCGUAGGUGAACCUGCGGAGGGAUCAUUACAGAUUUCACGCCCUCACGGGUAGAUCUCCCACCCUCUGGUAUCGUUACUGUCGUUUCUUUGGCGGGCCGCCGGGUCCCCGCCCGCCGGCGCCUAGUUGCCGGCGCGCGACCGCCAGAGUCCUUCAAACUCUGAAUGUUAGUGUCGUCCGAGUACCAUAUCAUAGUUAAAACUUUCAACAACGGAUCUCUUGGUUCUG
rnacentral:misc_RNA from 1 species